GACGAACGCUGGCGGCGUGCUUAACACAUGCAAGUCGAACGGAAAGGCCCUGCUUUUGUGGGGUGCUCGAGUGGCGAACGGGUGAGUAACACGUGAGUAACCUGCCCUUGACUUUGGGAUAACUUCAGGAAACUGGGGCUAAUACCGGAUAGGAGCUCCUGCUGCAUGGUGGGGGUUGGAAAGUUUCGGCGGUUGGGGAUGGACUCGCGGCUUAUCAGCUUGUUGGUGGGGUAGUGGCUUACCAAGGCUUUGACGGGUAGCCGGCCUGAGAGUGUGACCGGCCACAUUGGGACUGAGAUACGGCCCAGACUCCUACGGGAGGCAGCAGUGGGGAAUAUUGCACAAUGGGCGGAAGCCUGAUGCAGCAACGCCGCGUGCGGGAUGACGGCCUUCGGGUUGUAAACCGCUUUCGCCUGUGACGAAGCGUGAGUGACGGUAAUGGGUAAAGAAGCACCGGCUAACUACGUGCCAGCAGCCGCGGUGAUACGUAGGGUGCGAGCGUUGUCCGGAUUUAUUGGGCGUAAAGGGCUCGUAGGUGGUUGAUCGCGUCGGAAGUGUAAUCUUGGGGCUUAACCCUGAGCGUGCUUUCGAUACGGGUUGACUUGAGGAAGGUAGGGGAGAAUGGAAUUCCUGGUGGAGCGGUGGAAUGCGCAGAUAUCAGGAGGAACACCAGUGGCGAAGGCGGUUCUCUGGGCCUUUCCUGACGCUGAGGAGCGAAAGCGUGGGGAGCGAACAGGCUUAGAUACCCUGGUAGUCCACGCUGUAAACGGUGGGUACUAGGUGUGGGGUCCAUUCCACGGGUUCCGUGCCGUAGCUAACGCUUUAAGUACCCCGCCUGGGGAGUACGGCCGCAAGGCUAAAACUCAAAGGAAUUGACGGGGCCCCGCACAAGCGGCGGAGCAUGCGGAUUAAUUCGAUGCAACGCGUAGAACCUUACCUGGGUUUGACAUGGAUCGGGAGUGCUCAGAGAUGGGUGUGCCUCUUUUGGGGUCGGUUCACAGGUGGUGCAUGCCUGUCGUCAGCUCGUGUCGUGAGAUGUUGGGUUAAGUCCCGCAACGAGCGCAACCCUUGUUCACUGUUGCCAGCACGUUAUGGUGGGGACUCAGUGGAGACCGCCGGGGUCAACUCGGAGGAAGGUGGGGAUGACGUCAAGUCAUCAUGCCCCUUAUGUCCAGGGCUUCACGCAUGCUACAAUGGCUGGUACAGAGAGUGGCGAGCCUGUGAGGGUGAGCGAAUCUCGGAAAGCCGGUCUCAGUUCGGAUUGGGGUCUGCAACUCGACCUCAUGAAGUCGGAGUCGCUAGUAAUCGCAGAUCAGCAACGCUGCGGUGAAUACGUUCCCGGGGCU
rnacentral:rRNA from 1 species